rnacentral:rRNA from 1 species
UCCUACGGGAGGCAGCAGUGGGGAAUAUUGGACAAUGGGCGAAAGCCUGAUCCAGCCAUGCCGCGUGUGUGAAGAAGGUCUUCGGAUUGUAAAGCACUUUAAGUUGGGAGGAAGGGUUGUAGAUUAAUACUCUGCAAUUUUGACGUUACCGACAGAAUAAGCACCGGCUAACUCUGUGCCAGCAGCCGCGGUAAUA